UCGCCAUAUUAUAUAUAAUUAGAGGUGAGCCGAUGUCCAAGAAAGCCGAUUACCGAUACCGAUUGUUAACAGCCGACAUUUACCCACCAUCGGCCGAUUAAUCGGCAAAACCGAUGGUCAUCUUAAUUUUUUUUACUAAUGUAUCCUCUCGUCAAAAGACUCAAAACAUGCAGAAACAGGAAGCAACAUUUUUAACACUGAUUCUGAAAUCCACAGCGUGCCACAGAC